GGAGAGCUCGCCAGUUCUGUCUCUCACUACCGUCUCCGUCGGAGCUGCCGCCACGGUCGCCGGAGCUUCUGGCCGAGCCUCAACCGCCGGGAAACCGUUACUGGAGCCUGUGUCAUUUGGAUUUCAUCGCGAGUUACCUCCACCAGAAACCACCACUGUGAUUCUGAUCACCGGGGACGACUCUGUGACUUUCGGGAUCACCGCUGAAGCUCCAGGCAGAGUUUCUGCCGCUUGAGACCUUGCUGUUGUCGCCGGAAAAUUUUGCCGUUGAUCCACCGGAGCUUCUGGCCGCCGCCGGAGCUGUGCCGGGGCCGGUUCGAAUCCGCAGCUGCUUCGUGUUGAUUUUCCGAGUUGUUUAUGCUGCUGCGAAAAUGUGUGGGGCUGUGCUUUGAAGCUGCCUUUGAUUUUGAGUUGAGGCGAAAAAGGACUCUGUGA